rnacentral:rRNA from 2 species
UUCGGCUUAACCGGAGAAGUGCAUCGGAAACUGGGGAGACUUGAGUGCAGAAGAGGACAGUGGAACUCCAUGUGUAGCGGUGGAAUGCGUAGAUAUAUGGAAGAACACCAGUGGCGAAGGCGGCUGUCUAGUCUGUAACUGACGCUGAGGCUCGAAAGCAUGGGUAGCGAACAGGAUUAGAUACCCUGGUAGUCCAUGCCGUAAACGAUGAGUGCUAAGUGUUGGAGGGUUUCCGCCCUUCAGUGCUGCAGCUAACGCAUUAAGCACUCCGCCUGGGGAGUACGACCGCAAGGUUGAAACUCAAAGGAAUUGACGGGGGCCCGCACAAGCGGUGGAGCAUGUGGUUUAAUUCGAAGCUACGCGAAGAACCUUACCAGGUCUUGACAUCUUCUGCCAAUCUUAGAGAUAAGACGUUCCCUUCGGGGACAGAAUGACAGGUGGUGCAUGGUUGUCGUCAGCUCGUGUCGUGAGAUGUUGGGUUAAGUCCCGCAACGAGCGCAACCCUUAUUAUCAGUUGCCAGCAUUCAGUUGGGCACUCUGGUGAGACUGCCGGUGACAAACCGGAGGAAGGUGGGGAUGACGUCAAAUCAUCAUGCCCCUUAUGACCUGGGCUACACACGUGCUACAAUGGACGGUACAACGAGUCGCGAAGUCGUGAGGCUAAGCUAAUCUCUUAAAGCCGUUCUCAGUUCGGAUUGUAGGCUGCAACUCGCCUACAUGAAGUUGGAAUCGCUAGUAAUCGCGGAUCAGCAUGCCGCGGUGAAUACGUUCCCGGGCCUUGUACACACCGCCCGUCACACCAUGAGAGUUUGUAACACCCAAAGCCGGUGAGAUAACC